rnacentral:misc_RNA from 1 species
ACAAACUUGGUCAUUUAGAGGAAGUAAAAGUCGUAACAAGGUUUCCGUAGGUGAACCUGCGGAAGGAUCAUUAUCGAAAUGGGGAAAGCCUAGGAGGGGAGACCCUCUGAAGCUUUCGACCUUCUCAACACCCGUGUGCACCCACUGUAGGACCUUCGGGGCCUAUGUCUCAUCUCAUCGACUCGCAUGUCUACAGAAUGUAUGCAUCGCCUCGGCGAUGGCAAAGCUCAUACAACUUUCAGCAAUGGAUCUCUUGGCUCUCGCAUCGAUGAAAACGCAGC